rnacentral:rRNA from 1 species
GUGGGGAAUAUUGGACAAUGGGCGAAAGCCUGAUCCAGCCAUGCCGCGUGUGUGAAGAAGGUCUUCGGAUUGUAAAGCACUUUAAGUUGGGAGGAAGGGCAGUAAGUUAAUACCUUGCUGUUUUGACGUUACCGACAGAAUAAGCACCGGCUAACUUCGUGCCAGCAGCCGCGGUAAUACGAAGGGUGCAAGCGUUAAUCGGAAUUACUGGGCGUAAAGCGCGCGUAGGUGGUUUUGUAAGUUGGAGGUGAAAUCCCCGGGCUCAACCUGGGAACUGCCUCCAAAAAUGCAUGACUAGAGUACGGUAGAGGGUAGUGGAAUUUCCUGUGUAGCGGUGAAAUGCGUAGAUAUAGGAAGGAACACCAGUGGCGAAGGCGACUACCUGGACUGAUACUGACACUGAGGUGCGAAAGCGUGGGGAGCAAACAGGAUUAGAUACCCCUGUAGUCC